rnacentral:sRNA from 1 species
AGCCGGCUCGGGAAAGACUGCCCCAAGCUCCAUUCCAUGAGUAAGCGUGAGAGCCGCUCAGUUUCCUCCAGCUCUGCUGAAGCCAGCACAGAAGUAGCCCAAACUCUUCCCUCUGCUGACAGCAAAUUUUAGGCAAAGUCUUGAGAAAGAAGAAAUUGGGGCCAGAAAGGGAAGUGAGGAGAAUCAGAUCCCAGACCUUUGGGGAGAAGGAGCAACCGCCUCUGGCACAGCCCAUCAGGGAGAAAGAGCAGGUUGAGAAGAGUCCUAGGCUAACAGCCCCAAACAGGUGGGUGUUGCUCAGCUGCCUGGGGCAUGUGGUUGUAAGGCAGAACCCACAGACCUUGCAGGAAGAAGGCUCUUGGGGCCAUGGCCCAGGUCAGCAUCAACAAUGACUACAGCGAGUGGGGCUUGAGCACGGAUGCCGGGGAGCGGGCCCGGCUGCUGCAGAGUCCCUGUGUGGACACAGCCCCCAAGAGUGAGUGGGAAGCCUCUCCUGGGGGUCCGGACAGAGGCACCACUUCCACACUUGGGGCCAUCUUCAUCGUUGUCAACGCGUGCCUGGGCGCAGGGUUACUCAACUUCCCAGCAGCCUUCAGCACUGCGGGGGGCGUGGCAGCAGGCAUCGUACUGCAGAUGGGUAUGCUGGUUUUCAUCAUCAGUGGCCUUGUCAUCCUGGCCUACUGCUCCCAGGCCAGCAAUGAGAGGACCUACCAGGAGGUGGUAUGGGCUGUGUGUGGCAAGCUGACAGGUGUGCUGUGUGAGGUGGCCAUCGCUGUCUACACCUUUGGCACCUGCAUUGCCUUCCUAAUCAUCAUUGGUGACCAGCAGGACAAGAUUAUAGCUGUGAUGGCGAAAGAGCCGGAGGGGGCCAGCGGCCCUUGGUACACAGACCGCAAGUUCACCAUCAGCCUCACUGCCUUCCUCUUCAUCCUGCCCCUCUCCAUCCCCAGGGAGAUUGGUUUCCAGAAAUAUGCCAGCUUCCUGAGCGUCGUGGGUACCUGGUACGUCACAGCCAUCGUUAUCAUCAAGUACAUCUGGCCAGAUAAAGAGAUGACCCCAGGGAACAUACUGACCAGGCCGGCUUCCUGGAUGGCUGUGUUCAAUGCCAUGCCCACCAUCUGCUUCGGAUUUCAGUGCCACGUCAGCAGUGUGCCCGUCUUCAACAGCAUGCAGCAGCCUGAAGUGAAGACCUGGGGUGGAGUGGUGACAGCUGCCAUGGUCAUAGCCCUCGCUGUCUACAUGGGGACAGGCAUCUGUGGCUUCCUGACCUUUGGAGCUGCUGUGGAUCCUGAUGUGCUCCUGUCCUAUCCCUCGGAGGACAUGGCUGUGGCCGUUGCCCGAGCCUUCAUCAUCCUGAGCGUGCUCACCUCCUACCCUAUCCUGCACUUCUGUGGGCGGUGAGCCCCCUUCCACUCCCCAGGGCCCCUCCGAGCCGCUGUGAGCCCUUCCAACAUGGUCCUUUGGCCUUGUGUGGACCCCAUCCCGUAGAAGGAGAAACUGAAGACUGCAGAAAAGAGUCGGUGCCUAGGAUGGGUCCCUACAUAUCCCAGGCCAGGUCUCAGAAGCACCCUUUGUCCUGGGGUCACCAGAACAUUCCGUGAGUCCUGUAAGAAUCUCUAUCCAUGGCAUGGCACGGUGGCUCAUGUCUCUAAACCCAGCACUUUGGGAGGCUGAGGCAGAAGGAUCGCUUGAGCCUAGGAGUUCAAGACCACCUGGGCAACCUAGUGAGACCCCGUCUCUACACAAAAUAAAAUAAAUAGCCAGGUGUGGUGGCAUGCACCUGUGGUCCCAGCUACUCAGCCACUUGGGAGGCUGAGGCAAAAGGAUGGCUGGAGCCCAGGAGUUCAAGGCUGCAGUGAGCCAAGAUUGCACCACGGCACUCCAGCCUGGGUGAGAGAACCAGACCCUGUCUCAAAAAAA